rnacentral:lncRNA from 1 species
CGUGUAAGACAUUACCCUAUAUUUAUAGGGUAAUGGGAAGUUACAAAUCCUCUAAUUUUAUUAUGCGAGGGCGAUGUUCUAGUUCCAUUCAAACAUGACAUUUGAGACUUACAAAGAAAAGUAUUCCGAGUACCGUCCUUUUAUUUAUUGAUUUAGAAUAGCAAAAACAAAACAAAAAGAUGAAUACAUGCGGAACAUGAAUAAAUUACCAUGAUAGAAUAGAAGCAUUUUCAAUUCGCCAAAAGAAGGAAUAAAUAGAUGCAUUUUCAAGCGGCUUUGGCCGGGGCGGGUGUAGGGGUAGAAGAAAUCAACUUGCAUGUAUCGCAACACUUGUUAUCUGAGGUAUCCUUUUCCUUUGCGCUAUGCUUGAAGCAAUCCAUGUCUUGCUCUAUGGAUUUCUUAUUGGUGGGGGUGGACAUGAUGUAGCUAAAUCUCACAGCCAUGUAUGGGCAGUCGACGUAGUAGUGGUUGGUGCAAGUAGGAUCCAUGCAUGCCUUGUCGUAGUCGGUGCCACAUUGGGUAGAAUAGUCCUUGACAGUCUUGUCGCCUGGGCAGCCACCAUGCUUGUCGACGGAUUCUUUCAGGGCAUCCUGCCCUCGAGAAGUUUCUAGAUUAAAGACUUCUUACUUCUUUUCCCCGACCUCGACGAGCUCCGUGAACAAGUGCUUGAUGAAGGUGACGCUAGUUGCCUCUGUGCUGCAUGCCUUGUCGACCAUGGCGGUGCACGUGACGUCCUUUUUUUCGCCCUUGCCACAGAGCUUGGUGUACUCGGUGAGGCAGGUGGGAGUAGCCUUCUCAUGCCCCGAGGACACGAACAUAGGUGAUGUGGCCGCCGCCACCACAAGGGUGAUGAUGAGCAGUGACUCGGCCUUGCGCUUGGCAUCCAUCUUGUUGUCAAUUUCUCUUUGAUAGUUGGACCACCAACACUAGUGUUGAUCGAGAUGCUUGCAUUGCAUUACAUUUAUAGAGGCGAUGACCCAGGGUCGGGGCAAGUGGUAUGAUAGUGAGGCCAUCAGCCAUUGGAGCUCCAUAGACGCUAAAUUUGG